GACGAACGCUGGCGGCGUGCUUAACACAUGCAAGUCGAACGGAAAGGCCCUGCUUGCAGGGUACUCGAGUGGCGAACGGGUGAGUAACACGUGGGUGAUCUGCCCUGCACUUCGGGAUAAGCCUGGGAAACUGGGUCUAAUACCGGAUAGGAGCCAUUUUUAGUGUGAUGGUUGGAAAGUUUUUUCGGUGUAGGAUGAGCUCGCGGCCUAUCAGCUUGUUGGUGGGGUAAUGGCCUACCAAGGCGGCGACGGGUAGCCGGCCUGAGAGGGUGGACGGCCACAUUGGGACUGAGAUACGGCCCAGACUCCUACGGGAGGCAGCAGUGGGGAAUAUUGCACAAUGGGCGCAAGCCCGAUGCAGCGACGCCGCGUGGGGGAUGACGGCCUUCGGGUUGUAAACUCCUUUCGCUAGGGACGAAGCUUUUGUGACGGUACCUAGAUAAGAAGCACCGGCUAACUACGUG
rnacentral:rRNA from 1 species